GCGGGAAGGAAUCGCCUUAAAGGAACCGCUCCCCCAUUUUGUGUGGGGUUGUUCUUCUCUACUGAGGUAAAGAAUCUGAACCCUGAAAUAAACAAUAAACGCACAUUUUAACCAUCGCAUAACCCUCAGAAAGGGUUGUUGUAAUCAAACAACAGGAUCCAGCACUUGAUAUUGUUGAAUUUCAUCCCACUCACCUCAACCCAUCAAUCCAACAUAUCCGAAUCCCUAUGAAGGGCCUUCCUACCCUCAGGAGAUUGAUACUUCAUCCACAAAUUAGUGAUCAAGAAGCAAAGGAAUAGUGUGAUGUGCUACCAGCUGUGAAGGAGCUGCUCUCCAGCCUGGCACAAGUUCAAAGGAAGAUACAACUCUUCAUGAGAAAUACAAGUGGCCCCAGAGUUGGUUUUUUUCCCUCCCCUGGAUAUGGGAAAGAAGUGUGGCUACGUGUCAGUGGGGAGGAACUGAUAUAUGUUGCCCCCAGUGCUUGCAGCCAAGCUAUAGGCACCACAUUGAGCAAUCAACAGCAUGAAGUUCAACGCCAGGUGCUGUGGUUGGGACAGAGCAAUGCCAGAUGUGGGUACAGAUGGAGUGCUGCUUUAAAGAACAUGCAGAAACAGAAGGGAAAAGAUGACUUCUAGACUUCUCCAUGAGAGGUGUUCCUUCCAACAGUGUCAUAGUGACAUGUGGAGUCAACUGGGAUGCAGCCAGAAGAGCUAAGCAUAAUGCACUACAGCUACCCUAAUUAGCACAGCAGGACCACAGAGCUUAAUUUCGUAAUCCAAUGACCCAAUUAACCAGCUGUUGGGAGAACAUCUGUGAAUCUGUUUGAAAAGGAGCAGCAUGAGCUGUUAGCCUUCAGCUAGGGCUGUUGGAGCUGUGUCGUGUGUGUGUUUAUCUGGCUGGAUAUCCCAGGAAAUGCCAUGGAUUGAUUCUGAAGUGCUGUGUUGCUACUGAUUCCAUGGGAUGAGGUCCCUUCCAACUCAUGCCAUGAGUCUAUGACCCACAAGAAAUACAAUGACCUAAUUUUUUGGUUACAUAUCUGCCUGUCUGGAUUAUUUUCCUCAUUUUUUUCCUUCUGUCUGAGCAUUCAGAGUUGCUAACCUCUCCAUUCCCUCGAGUCUGCAUCAUCUGGAUAAUACGAUGAUGGGUGCUGCCAUCACAUUUUGCUUUUCAGUCACAUAAUGUAUGUAGAGAGAUUACACUUAGAAUAUUUCUGACUCUACUUUUGCACGCAACCCAGCAAAGGCAAAUCAAGAACAGGAUGAGUUCCUUCAGCAUAAAGUUUGAAUUGUUGCUUACAUGUGAUAAAUCUAUACAAACCCCUUGAAUUGCACUUAUUUUCAUGUGAUUGCAUACAAUCUUCCGUUGGGGAAAGUUCAAGUGGUGGCUGCACAGACUGAAUGUAUCGCAAUAAUGCUUCUGAGCAGCAUAAACAUGCAGAACAAGAAGGAAUAUUUGUUCUUUGGGGCCACUCCAGCCUUCUGCUUUUUCUUUGUGAAUGAGCUGUAAAGGAAGUUGGACUCGAUGAUUCUUCCAACUUGGGAUAUUCCAUGACGCAAUUUUUGCUGGGUAUGUCUAAAUCUGAAGAAGGAACUUUGAAGCAUUCAAUGUUGUGCAUGGAAUUAACCCCAAAAGAAAUGAUAGAAUCACAGAAUCGUUAAGGUUGGAAACGACCACUAUGGCCACCGAGUCCAUCCCCAACCCAUCCCACUAAACCAUGUCCCUAAGUACCACACCUCCAGGCACAGAUUCACAAAAAAUAUGAGUCCAGUCUGGGGCUUUUCUUCUAUUUUCAGGAAUUCUUGUCAUUUGUUUUCUGAAUCCUUCAACUUCAACUCUGAACUGAAUUAAUUAAUGUGAUUUUGCUGUCAUAAGCCAAAGUCCAUACUCUAAAUACUUUGUUCCUGUGGGAGCAAGAGGGUGUCUUUAAGUUCAUCUUCUUCAGCUAAAUCUUGGGGCAGCAUUCCUCAGUUACAGGUACUCAAAAAGACAUGGUUGGUGCAGUCUGUCUUCUAAUUGAAUCCCUUUUUACUCAUAGUUCUGCAUAAUCUCCCAUAGCAAUACAUAUAUAUCAUUGAAACUACAAUACAACCCGUUAAGUUAUGGCUGCUGACUAGUUCUGCGGAGCACUGACAUUUGCUUAAUCCUCUCCUGGGUGGCAUGAUGCAGAAAGGCUAAAAAUACACCCAGUAUAUGAAAUAUAAUAGUUGGAUUAAAGAAUGAGCUCCAAAAAUAAGGUGUCAAGCACCAUCUCUAAUAUCAAACUCAGUGUUCCACAAGCUCUGACUACAUAAUGAGCUCUUUCCUUUGACAGCUCAUGGAGGGCAAUAAGAGCUUGUGCAAGCCUCCAGCUGAAGUGUUACAGCCCCGUCUUUCAUCCUGGAGUCAUUAAGGAUGGAAAGACCAAUAAAGUAAUCCAGUCCAACCCCUUGUGA